GGAGGUAUCGGAUAGUGGCUAUUCCGUAACACUCGAAUUGUUGUCGAUCUAUGUUAUGCCUUUUGGCUCCUGAGUUCGAGUCUCAGUGCCUCCU